rnacentral:rRNA from 1 species
UAUCUCUGUAGAGUCUGCAUAUCAAUAAGCGGAGGAAAAGAAACUAACAAGGAUUCCCUUAGUAACGGCGAGUGAAGCGGGAAGAGCUCAAAUUUGAAAUCUUCAAGGUUCUACCUUGACGAAUUGUAGUUUAAAGAAGUGUUUUCUGUUAGAUGAGUAGCAAAAGUUCCUUGGAAUGGGACAUCAUAGAGGGUGAGAAUCCCGUAUUUGGUUAUUCAUUCUAGCUUUGUGGUACACUUUCAAAGAGUCGGAUUGUUUGGGAAUGCAGUCCAAAAUGGGUGGUAAAUUUCAUCUAAAGCUAAAUAUUGGCGAGAGACCGAUAGCGAACAAGUACCGUGAGGGAAAGAUGAAAAGAACUUUGAAAAGAGAGUUAAACAGUACGUGAAAUUGUCAAAAGGGAAGCGUUUGACACCAGUGUUGUUUUCCGAAAAUCAAUUACGAAUGGCUUGAUUUUGUGUUGUAUUGACCUUAUCAGCUUUCUGCACUUUUUUCGAGUCUUUCUUAAUGCACUUUUUGGUUAACAAGUCAACAUCAAUUUCUUUUGUUGUAAAAGAGUAUUCGGAAGGUGGCUUUCUUUUCGGAGAAAGUGUUUAUAGCCCUAUACUUCUACAAUCGGAGAGAUUGAGGUCUGCAGCGUAGAUCCUUCGGGGUUAGAUACAUUUGUGCUAAGUUGUAGCUUUUCAUAGACAACUUGUUGACUAUGUUUAGUCAUGCGGCUUACUCGCUUAUGCUAUUUUACCUACGCUUAGGAUGUUGACUGAUAUGUAGUCGUA